rnacentral:lncRNA from 1 species
AGGGGCGGUCAGCACACGAGCACGUAGACAUGCAUGCCCUUGACCGCCUCCUAAAAGCUCUGGACCCCCCCUCAGCACCCCUCUACUGCCCAUCAUCUUGGGCACCACCCUGUGCCAACUCCUCCCCUCUGAGCGAGGUGAAAGGUCAUGAGGCUACCUACCCUCCUGAGGAGGAAAUGUGAUAUUAGCUUAGCUAGUGACACCCAGAGCCAUGUAUUUUUAGAGCUGGGCCAUUAUGGUUUUUGCAGUGUGACUCAUUUUUACAUGACACUACAACAUUUUGUAUUUUUAUUUUUUUUGUCCCCAAUUUUGUGAUAUUCAAUUGGUAGCUAUGACCUUGUCUCAUCGCUGCAACUCCCCAAUGGGCUCGGGAGAGGCGAAAGUCGAGACAUGCGUCCUCCAAAGCAUGACCCGCCGAGUUACGCUGCCUCUUAACACACUGCUCGCUUAACCCGGAAGUCAGCCGCACCAAUGUCGGAGGGAACACUGCUUGCAGGCGCCCAGACACAAGGAGUUUCUAUGGAAAGGAAAGCUCCCCGGCCAAACCCUUCCCUAACCCGGAUGGCGCCUGCCAUGCCCGGGAGCCCCAUAGGAUCGAAGCCCAGGCUGUAGUGGCGCAUCAGCACUGUGAAGCAGUGCCUUAGACCACUUUGUCACUCGGGAGGCCCAACACUACAGUAUUCUAUAGCAGCCAUGUUAGUGCCCCAUUAACAUUACAUGAGGAAUAUGUAAGGAAUAAUUGAGGGGCUAUGCAUUCAAUGGAAAAUAAUGAACAGCGUGGAAGUUGUGUUCCAAGAACGGCGUGGAAGGUGUGUUCCAAGAACGGCGUGGAAGGUGUGUUCCAAGAACGGCGUGGAAGUUGUGUUCCAAGAACGGCGUGGAAGGUGUGUUCCAAGAACGGCGUGGAAGGUGUGUUCCAAGAACGGCGUGGAAGGUGUGUUCCAAGAACGGCGUGGAAGGUGUGUUCCAAGAGCGGCGUGGAAGGUGUGUUCCAAGAACGGUGUGGAAGGUGUGUUCCAAGAGCGGCGUGGAAGGUGUGUUCCAAGAACGGCGUGGAAGGACCUGUGAAGUAGAAGAAAGAGUCGCGAGAAAUGAAAAGCCUCUUUUGGGUUGAAGGAUCACUAUGACAUCCGGGAAGGAGAGAGAAAACCGUAUGUAUCUGUUAGUGCCAUAUCUUAACUGUGCUUCAAUAACAUGAAUAUUAUAUGGUGAUGGCCGUUGUUAUUUAUAGGUGAGACUGUCUUAUAGCUGAGAGGAGCAUGUUUAUGGUCUGAGGUUACAGUGGACCAGGUAGGUAGUGAACAUAUAAGGUAGUAUAGCUAAUGGGUAGCUUUAUGCUCAAUAUAGCCUAAGUAUUAGUUAACAGAGUGCUUCUAUGGACAUUCUGUACUGUCCUCUCUUUGGAGAUCAUUUACAGUUGUCUUAGCUGUGACAAAGGUCUUAGGCAAUUGUUCACCACAAACGUACUACUUUGCUUCAUUGUGGUUUAAGAUGAUUGACUUGAAUUGGGGAAAGAAUUUAUUAUUUGAGGCCAUUUUGGUUUUAAAGGCCCAGUUUAGUCAACAACUUGAUUUUCCUGUGUUUAUAUUUCCACACUCUGAGGUUGGAAUAGUACUGUGAAAUUAGAAAUGAUGACAAUGCACUUUCAGUGUAAGAGCUGUUUGAAAAGACCCCCCCUGAAAUUUCACCCUGUUUUGAUGGGAUGGAGUUUUGGUAUGUGAACAAUUGCCAGUAUAUUAGUUAAUAGACCAAUAAGAAAGUGGUCCAAACCUAGUUUUCAGUUUUUCCAUCCACACUCAGACCACUUCCAGACGGUCUUAGCAACAUUAUUGCUUGAGAAAUGGCUCUUUGCUGUAAGAAGCUAUUUUUGCUUAUUUUUGACCAUUUUGAUUUAAAGCAAUCACAUUACCCAGAAAUUAUUUAAUAUUGAGAUAAAAGCAGCUGCAUUUGACAUUUAAAGAUAUUAGAUUUCCCCUCAUUUAUAUAUCAUAGGUUGUAGUUUUUACUUUGCAUCCAUUUCUCUGGGUAAUAUACUUGAAUAAUACUAUUAUUGAAUGUUUUGUCAUUUAAAUUGAUACCCCUGCUUGGUUCACAAAGGCAGUAUAAUAGAGAGAAUUUACCACAGGUCACUUUAUCUUGGAUGUAACGGCUUUAUCUUGGAUGUAACCAUCAUGAAUCAUGUUUUUAUGGCCUGACCAGCUCUUGGCAAUUUACAUUUAUUAUGUUUUCUGGCCUUCAUAGUUACAAUAUUGCAAGACAGAACCUUGAGGAUUCAAUGGCUAUAUCAGUGUUAAAAUAUAGUGUCUUAAAAAUGAGGUUCCAAGAUAUGGUGCCUCAGGCAUUUUUUGCCUAAUCAAUGACAUAAUGCAAUGCAUAUGGGUAGCUUAGACAUUAGGAUAGUAAAGGUACAGUGUAACCUAUUUGUCCAGAUAGAAAAGAUAGGGAGACAGGCUGUAUCACCAUGUGUCAGACAGUGCUUCUGUAUAGGACUUGUAAUGCAGCUUUCGCUACAGUAUAUGCCUAUUCAGUUCCAUCACCUGCAUUUCUGUUUUGUAUGGCUUGAACUGUUGAUGGGUCUUUGGUUACUUUAUCUGCUUGUGAGGUUCACUCCUCUUGGUUACAUUUUUAUGCUAAACAAUUUGCCACGAAUCUUGUUUCUUUUUUUUGUUGCCUUUUUGUUGAUUUUAAAAUAGGAAAAAGCAUCAUGUGUGACCAGACCUUGAUUGAAAAAGACAAUUAGUUUCCUGUUUUAAGUGUGUUAACUUAAGUGGUGUAAAGUACUUAAGUAAAAAUACUUUAUUAAAGUACUACGUAAGUAGUUUUUGGGGGUAUCUGUACUUUACUAUUUAUAUUUUUGGCAACUUUAUCUUCACUACAUUCGUACAGAAAAUAAUGUACUUUUUACUCCAUACAUUUUCUCUGACACCCAAAAGUACUCAUUACAUUUUGAAUGCUUAGCAGGACAGGAAAAUGGUCCAAUUCACUCACUUAUCAAGAGAACAUCCCUGGUCAUCCCUUCUGCCUCUGAUCUGGAGGACUCGCUAAACACACGUGCUACAUUUGUAAAUGAUGUCUGUGUGUUGUAGUGUGCCCCUGGCUAUCCGUUAAUAAAAUAAAAACAAUA